CAGCAGCCACGGGAAUACGUAGGUGGCAAGCGUUGUCCGGAAUUAUUGGGCGUAAAGCGCGCGCAGGCGGAUUGGUCAGUCUGUCUUAAAAGUUCGGGGCUUAACCCCGUGAUGGGAUGGAAACUGCCAAUCUAGAGUAUCGGAGAGGAAAGUGGAAUUCCUAGUGUAGCGGUGAAAUGCGUAGAUAUUAGGAAGAACACCAGUGGCGAAGGCGACUUUCUGGACGAAAACUGACGCUGAGGCGCGAAAGCCAGGGGAGCGAACGGGAUUAGAUACCCGCGUAGUCCCUGUCUCUUAUACA
rnacentral:rRNA from 1 species